GGGAUAGAAUUCCAGGAGUAGCGGUGAAAUGCGUAGAUAUCUGGAGGAAUACCAAAGGCGAAGGCAGUCCCCUGGUCCGAUACUGACACUGAGGUACGAAAGCGUGGGGAGCAAACAGGAUUAGAUACCCUGGUAGUCCACGCCCUAAACGAUGUCGAUUAGCCAUUGGAAGGACCCCUUUUCCUUUCAGUGACGUAGCUAACGCGUUAAAUCGACCGCCUGGGAAGUACGACCGCAAGGUUAAAACUCAAAGGAAUUGACGGGGACCUGAACAAGCGGUGAAUGAUGUGGAUUAAUUCGAUGCUACGCGAAGAACCUUACCUACCUUUGACAUGGCCAAAGUUCUACCGAGAGGCGGAAGUACUCGUAAGAGGAUUGGCGCACAGGUGCUGCAUGGUUGUCGUCAGUUCGUGUCGUGAGAUGUUGGGUUCAGUCCCGCAACGAACGCAACCCUUAUCUUUAAUUGCUCCUAUUUUAACAGGCAUUUUAAAGAAACUGCCAAUGAUAAGUUGGAGGAAGGUGGGGAUCACGUCAAGUCCGCAUGGCCUUUAUAGGUAGGGCUUCACACGUCAUACAAUGGUUAGAACAAAGAGCUGCAAAUUCGUAAGAAGGAGCCAAUCUCACAAACCUAACCUCAGUUCGAAUUGCGGUCUGCAACUCGAGCGCAUGAAGCCGGAAUCGCUAGUAAUCGUGGAUCAGAAUGCCACGGUGAAUACGUUCUUAGGUCUU
rnacentral:rRNA from 1 species